UUUUUGGAAUCUUGAGGGUGAUUCUCACUUUUCUUUCAAUGUGUGUAAUAUCCAUUGAUCUUUUCGAUCCGUCUUGGUGCGUCAUAUCCAAGGGAUCAAACCGAUUCAUCCUGGUGCGUCAUAUCCAGGGAAUCAUCCUCAUUGUCGUCUAGGUGCGUCAUAUCCUAGGACAUUGAGUUGGAAUAUCCCUUACCAAUUUCAGAGUGUAUUCCUUGGGAGGUUUUUAUCAUUUGGUAUCAGAGCAACACUCUGAGUUUGGUAUUCACUUCUGUUAUCACCAUUCUCUUCUUUCCAUCUUCUACAAAAAAAAAAGAAAAAAAAAGAGUUUUAUUAUUUAUGUUCUACAGAUCUGCUGGAUCUUUGGAAAGUUUGUGUACAAGUUUUCUUUCUUCGGAAAGCAAAAUUUGAGGACAAAUCUUUUUGAAGAGGAUGAGUAUGAUGUGAUCUUGGGCAGAUUUAUGAAGUUUUGGACAUGAAAAAUAAUCAGAAAUCAACCCAUGAUGUUAGGUAACAUGUCCAGCCCAUUUUUAUGAAGAUACAAGCCCAAGAAGAAUCAAAAUCAAGUGGUUUCUUUGUUGUCCAAGGAAAGUGACGAAAAUCACAAACUAAAUUGCAUGGAAAGCUUUUCUCUCCUGCAUGCAAGGAUUGCUUGUUCCAAGAACAUUCUCUCUCCUCCAUGCACUAUUUUGUGAUUUCCUAUGUAUUAACUAUCUAGUUUUCUCAACAAGUUUAGUUUCCUAUAAAUAAGUUGUAAUCUCUAUUGAAAUAAGAUAAGUUUUGAGUGAUUAUUUUUGGAACCUUGAGAGUGAUUCUCACUUUUCUUUCAAUGGUGUGUAAUAUCCAUUGAUCUUUUCGAUCCGUCUUGGUCCGUCAUAUCCAAGGGAUCAAACCGAUUCGUCCUGGUGCGUCAUAUCCAGGGAAUCAUCCUCAUUGUCGUCUAGGUGCGUCAUAUCCCAGGGCAUUGAGUUGGAAUAUCGGAGGCCUUCUGCAUCCUUCGUGCGGCCAUUCACUCCACAUCCCUUGUCUUUGAAGCUUUACGGUUUCAUAGCAGCACGGUUUAUCCCCUUUACCAACUUAGAGUGCCGACUCCUCGGGAAGUUUUCAUCAAUUAUCAUCUUCUCCAUCAAACACAACAACCUCUAGUUCUGGUUCAUCAAGGGAAAAAUCUUCAAACUCAAGUCUUCAUAUAUUAAGCUCAUCUAAAGAAUCAAAUUGGUCACCUCCAACAUCCCACAUCUUGUUAGGACCUUCUUUACAAGCCGAACUCCUUCUAGAUAAGAGACGAAGAUUUUAUGCAUAAAUACUAAAUCUAGAAUAAAUUUAUAACUUACUUGGGAUUUAGAGAAUGUGUCAUACAAUGGAGAGGAGUGUUACUCUUACUCCAACGAUAUGUUAAAAUAGACUGCACAUCAUUCCAACAAAAUUGAGUCAUCUUCAAGUUCUUUCCUUUCCUUUCUAGAGAUAGCCUUUUUCAUAGUCUCUUCAUGCUUUCCCACCAUUCAUAAACCAGAUGAAGUGAAGGCUUAGCAGUAUCAGCAGCUCUAAUCACAUUAUAUAUCGGCAAAGUGAAAGACAAAGCAUAUUCAAUCUCAUCCCAGAACAUCUCAUCUAAUAUUUUUUUCUUCACUGCUGAUGCUCUUUCUACAUCAUCAUCUUUAUAAUCAUCCCACUUAGGACUGGUCACAAUUUGUUGUAACCCGGUUUUUAUUUUCUUGAAUCUCUUAAGCAUCACAACUGCUGA
rnacentral:lncRNA from 1 species